GGUGACGGUGGGGGUUGUGGGGGAGGAUGCGGUGGUUGUGGGGGGUGAGGCAUGGUCUGAAUAAUUGGGAAUUUUUCACUUGAUACUUCACUUGAAGGGGUGCUUAUUGGUUAACGCAAUGGAGUUAACACGAUCAAAACAGCAUUAACAGUAGUCCUUUUAAUAAUAAUUUUGUUAUAUUUGAUGUCUACCUCCCUUCGGAUAUACAUUUUUUUUAUUGAUUUACACAACUUAUGUUUUAUAAUAUAUGUAGAUCACCACCGCAGAGUUUGUGACCAGACUUACUAGCAUUACUUUUUGGCAACAAAUACCUAUUUAUAGAGAUGCCCAUGGUUUUUUAAUCUUUAAUAUGUGAUUGAGGAAAAAAAAGGCAUGACUCUUUCUCGAUGAAUUUAUUUGCAAACAAUUUAAGAAUGUUGCUCUUCAAAUAUUUACAAGCAUGAUUAUGAAAAUAUAUAGGCCUAUACAACUUACUUACAACAAUGCAUAACGAUUCAAAUAGGCAUACAAAGUUUAAUUGUUUAGAAAGUUUAAUACAAUAUAAUGAAUACAUAGUGCGAUGUGUUGAAAUCUGUAAAACUAAAUCCUUUUUAGAGUAGCUUUGGCUCUGAAUACAACAGAAGCGAUCUGAUUCGAAAGCUUAUGAUUAAAGUGACAUCGAAUAGAGGAGGAAAAAUUUUUUCGCGAACUCAAUCCACUGCAUACAAUAACUAGUGCAAUUCAUAUUCAUAGACGUUGUAAAAUUUGAGUGGAAAACAUUUGAAAUUCAAAUUUAGAAAUAUUUGCUUUCAAAUGUAAUUGAUGUAUUUUAGAUCUGCUUAUGUUUUUUUUUUUAUCAAAUUAUCUAUUUAACCAAAAAACAAAACACGUUUUAGAUUCCAUAAUUUAUUUUUCACUUUUUAACGGAGACAGAUUUCUGUGAUCUGUAUGCGAUUUUUUGAAGAAAUAAUUAAAUGUAUAAUGGUAAACUGCUUUUAAAAUGUUAUCGUAAUUUGAUAUUUCAAUUUCAUGAUUAAUUUAAUUUUAAGUCAGACAUUUUUAUAUUUAUUAUUAGCACACUAAAUACAUUAUUACAAUCAUCAUAUUUUGGGAGUUUGAUUUUUAAAUACUAAAAAACCCCCAAAAAGUUUCUCAUAAAAUCUGGUGAAAAAUGGAUUUAUUGUUAUUCAGAAAACAAGUAUCGAUCGUGUUACAGUAUUUUAGUGGGUGUAACACUAGUUUCUACAUAUUGUUACUCUGAUCCUGAUAUUCUCCACACCGACUCAUUAUGUUACACAUGUAUUCAUGUUUAUCAUAUACCUGGUACUGGUCAUUAGUAUACACGUGCAAUAUGUUUUUCAAUAUAUUAGCUUUCAUUGCCAUGUUUUUUUUAUAUUAAACCUAAUCUUCAAUGCU
rnacentral:misc_RNA from 1 species